ensembl:lncRNA
CUCAGCCUCGCCAUUCUAACUUUGCCUCGAAAUAUCUCAACCUGAGCUGUCCCUCUGAUGGACUCAUUUCUAAUCCUAUCCAUCAUGCUCACUCCCGCCUCUUACCUUCCCUUUCCUUCUUGCUGCUAUCCUUUAGCCAUCUCCACCCACUCCACCCUGCCUACGUUCCCUUAUUCACGUCUCUUGUGCACUGUCUGUUGCUUUGGAUUAUCUCAGGCUUUUAAACGUAUUCAAAUUAUUCACUACCUGUGCUCUUUGCUGGUACAUCUGUCUCCCUCUCAUGUAUUCUGUCUUGCUUCUACGGACCUUCAACUAGUUUUAUUCACUCAAACACAGGGCGAGGGAGUGAGCGUGGUAAGCUGUGAACAGAGGGAGAGUGUGGUUAGAGAUGAUGCAGGGGGAGCUAGACUGGAGAGGUGAUAUUGGAGUCUUACUUGGCAGGUGAAGCGUAAAAGGCUCUGGGGCAGGUGAAUAGCCAGGUGAGCUCCUAGAGUGCUGAGCAAGUGAGAAGAUUCCAUCCUUGUUUUUCCAGAGAUCCACAAGAGACGGUGUCAGGAGGACAUGCAGGUGGAAAUGGUGAAUGGUGUGAACCUGAGAGGUGAAGAAUCAGCAACAAAACCAGAGCCCUGCUGUGGACACCAGCAUUCAGAGGAUCUUGAGCUGCAGUCCAUUGAAGUCUGCUCCAAUCAUCACUGACCACUCCCCCUUAGAAUAUAUAGGCUUGUGGGCCCUCCAUGGCUGGGAAUAUCGGGAAAAACACUUGGAACACACAGCGCAACACAACAAGGAACACAUCCAAACAGAGGCUUUUAAGAUACAGCAUGACCUAAACAGGGAAAUGAGACAAAAGCAUUAAAUAGGGAGUGCUGAGGGAACAGAAUAAAAAUGCAACUGCAAUAGGAAACAACAUACAAAACUCAAACAAUAAACUAGAGAACUUCUGGGAAAGUAUAAAAAAGCAAGGAAUACAAACAGCCUCAUAUAUAAAAAAGUUUUCAGUUUCAUUCAACUUUAUUUACACAGCGCCAAAUCACAACAACAGUCGCUUCAAGGUGCUUUAUAUUGUACAGUAAACCCUACAAUAACACAUACUGAGAAAAACCCAACAAUCAUAUGACCCCCUAUGAGCAGCACUUUGGCAACAGUGGGAAGGAAAAACUCCCUUUUAACAGGAAGAAACCUCCAGCAGAACCAGGCUCAGGGAGGGGCGGGGCCAUCUGCUGUGAUUGGUUGGGGUGAGAGAAGGAAGACAGGAUAAAGACAUGCUGUGGAAGAGAGACAGAGGUUAAUAACGGAUAUGAUUCAAUGCAGAGAGGUCUAUUAAUACAUAGUGAGUGAGAAAGGUGACUGGAAAGGAAAAACUCAAUGCAUCAUGGGAAUCCUCGGCAGCCUACGUCUAUUGCAGCAUAACUAAGGGAGGAUUCAGGGUCACCUGGUCCAGCCCUAACUAUAUGCUUUAGCAAAAAGGAAAGUUUGAAGCCUAAUCUUAAAAGCAGAAAAGAGCUGAGGAAAGCCCCAGGCCCCGCCAAGCAGCCCCCGGGAGUGAGCCAGUACAAACCCGAACAUCCAGCCCUGGACACCGAGAACCAUCAAUGCACCAACGGUCCCUGUCAGGAAGACAGGAACAAAGCAGUCUUACAUAUUUGUUUAAUAUGUGCGUUGAAGGACAUGUCCUGGUCAACAAUGACUCCAAGGUUCCUCACAGCGUUACUGGAGGCCAAGACAGAAGGAAGAAAUCUUGGAACCAAAGACAAAACUUCCCACACGUUUUAAAGAGCCAGCAGGUAGAAUGGGAGCAGAGCAGGAGCAUCCUUAUAAUAAGAAAGUACCAGUGACCAAGUCUAUGAAAUGACAAAGCAGAACAUCCAUACAUCUUUUAAUGGUAAAUGGACUGACUCUUAUGCAGCACCUUUCUACUCUCCAGGAGAAAUCAAAGUGCUUUACACAACAAGCCUCGCUCAUACAAGCACGCUGCACGCUGAUCAGGUGUGAAAGCUGCGCUCUCUCUGGGAUUUUACUCACCAUGGGGCUUUUUGGACGCUUCAUCAAUGUUUCUUUUUUGUUACAAUGUCUUAUAUUUUAGAGUGAUUUCAUUAAAUGUUGCCAUUGUUGUGCUUUAAGUUGUAAGCCUUGUCCUAAACAGCAUGAUCGAAGACAUUCCCUUGUUUCUGUUCCCCUCCCCAGCAUGUCAGAUGGUAUAGUGAUGUUUAACUUCCUGCCCUUUAUGACCUCAACUGUGCUACUCGUUCUUGAGUGAGUGUCUGUUUAUCCAGCAGUUUCAGGAAUAUCUCUCUGACAUUAAACUGCACUGACCAUGUCUCCCAGUACGAGUCUUUAACAGAGUAAUGAAUGACUUUGCCUUUGUAGGUUUGAUGUGGCACAAUAGAGCUUCUAAUUUUCAGUAAAUUCUCUGUAGAAAUAACUUUGGAACUGUUAUUAGGAUAGUAUGCAACUAUAAAAAUGGACAGUAGACACACGUAUUUGAUGGGCUGUCAGUUUAAGAAAAUGACAGUAAAAGAAGAAUUUAGAAAGAUGUUGCAGCUAACUGCACUUUGUGCAAGAGGAAGAAGAGGGAACCCAAAGUUACCUCUAAAUCUGCGCUGUCAUCAACAGAAACCUGACUUUUCAGGUUAAACCUCUGGGGUCCAGGGUACCAUUGGCCACUUUUCACUACUUUGUAUUUCACCUUUAAAUUUUCUUCUCGUGCCUUCUGUGGCAUCAUUCUUUUCAGCACAAUCUCACGUCUG